rnacentral:rRNA from 1 species
CCUACGGGUGGCAGCAGUGGGGAAUAUUGGACAAUGGGCGAAAGCCUGAUCCAGCCAUGCCGCGUGUGUGAAGAAGGCCUUCGGGUUGUAAAGCACUUUCAGUGGGGAAGAAAGCCUUGGGGCUAAUACCCUCGAGGAAGGACAUAACCCACAGAAGAAGCACCGGCUAACUCCGUGCCAGCAGCCGCGGUAAUACGGAGGGUGCGAGCGUUAAUCGGAAUUACUGGGCGUAAAGCGCGCGUAGGCGGUCUGAUAAGCCGGUUGUGAAAGCCCCGGGCUCAACCUGGGAACGGCAUCCGGAACUGUCAGGCUAGAGUGCAGGAGAGGAAGGUAGAAUUCCCGGUGUAGCGGUGAAAUGCGUAGAGAUCGGGAGGAAUACCAGUGGCGAAGGCGGCCUUCUGGACUGACACUGACGCUGAGGUGCGAAAGCGUGGGUAGCAAACAGGAUUAGAUACCCUAGUAGUC